rnacentral:ncRNA from 1 species
ACAUAUGCUAUGAAGAGAAGAGUAAAAUAAUGUUGUUUUUUUUAAAGAGAGCUUUGUUUGCUGAAAAAAAGCAAAAAACACUUAUUUGAAAAUGGUCUCAGAGCUUCGUACUGAACGUAUUACUUAGUAUACUAGUAAGCUACGACAAGAAUCAGCACUUGUUAUAAAUGCUGGAGUAUUAGUUUUUGAUACUCACUAAGGUAGACAACGGGAGUUGUUUAUAAAUUUAGGUGGUACCACGAGUUUAACCUCGUCCUUUUU